GAAAAGUAGAAACAGAUCUUGGAUAACUUGUUUCUAGGUUUUUAUUUAAUGUUAAGCUUGCCGUGGCUAUCACAAUUUGUAUUACAAAGGUGGUUCUUGGCAACUCUGUCCUCCACUACAUAGUUAAUAUACAGUCUUAUCUUUUCCUAUGCUUUAACAUUUCUUUGUGUUAACUUUGUGAAAUAAUUAUUUAACUGCAAAGAUAAACACACCCAAAGUAUAAUAAAUUUGCAUCAUAUUCAAAAGAACUUGAAAGACGUGAGGUCAUCAGUCUUCAAAUUGAUUUUUAUCGAAGCACAAGUUUGCGCACCUUAAACCCAGCGAGAACAUCAAAAGAAUAAAAUGCAAUAGUAUUUCAAUCUGUUAAAUCCAAGACAUCCAGCACCUCCUCACAGUUUAAACUAACUGAAAAUGAUUGAUUUCAGUUUCAUUUUCCUCAACUUUCUCUUUCUGACUCUUUUGAACAUUGACAGUGUUGAUCUUUGUGCAUCCCACUGGCAUUGUGAAAUAGAAAACUAGGGAAAAAAAAAAAGUACAUCGCAG